rnacentral:rRNA from 1 species
UACGUAGGUUGCGAGCGUUAUUCGGAUUUACUGGGCGUAAAGCGCACCGAGGUGGCUUCUUAAGUUGGAUGUAAAAUCUCCCGGCUUAACUGGGAGGCGCCAUUCAAUACUGAGGAGCUUGAGGUCAGCAGGGGGAAAGUGGAAUUCCCGGUGUAGUGGUGGAAUGCGUAGAGAUCGGGAGGAACACCAGUGGCGAAAGCGACUUUCUGGGCUGCACCUGACACUCUAGUGCGAAAGCGUGGGGAGCAAACAGG